CUAUUUUAAGUUAAAUUUCUUUCAGAUGAAUAUGUCGAUUGAUAUUUUGAAUAAAGAAGAAUUAAAACAACACUUAGUUAACAGCUGCAUUUCUGAAGAAGACGCUGUUUUACUUUUUGGCUUCUACUGUGUUGUUCUACUGGGGCUGUGAAACGAGGCAUCUUCACUACUCUCGCCAUCUUGGAUUUUAGUAAUGAAGGAAAAAGAGAAUUUGAGACAAAAAUUUUCUUCCGAUGUAUGGCGUCCUCAUCUGAACAAAACAGCUUGUAAACAUCGCAUCAAAUGAUAUUUCUUAAACUUUACGAUUUGGAACUUAUCGUCAUCAAGCGAUUAUACUUGUUUUUCUUCUAUAAACAAGAAUCAUUAGUUCUGCACGAGUGAAUAAAAAUUUCUCUACUUCUGACAUGUGCUUUGCAUGAAAUAACUCAUCUGGACAACCAUCAAUCGUCCAUCGAUAUUGCAAUUAAGAAUGAUCAUAUGCCGUUUGCAUUCAUUUUCUGCUUGUGUGGUUCUGGACCUUGAUGAAUGUCUUUGUUUUUGAUCAAGAUGUUUUUUUAUUUCUAAUUUAAGCGGGACACUGUUCAUCAAUGUUGACGGUGAACUAUAGACAAUUAAAUGUAUAAUUAAUCAGAUAUAAGAGAAAUAAUUUCUGUGGUAGCUUUAACAAACAAAACAAAAAGAAAAAAAUCUGAUAUCCAAUAUUUUAAAAAAAAAAAAUUUCAGUAUUAAAAUGAUUUAAUAGAAAGAAA